UACGAAGGGGGGCUAGCGUUGUUCGGAAUUACUGGGCGUAAAAGCGCACGUAGGCGGGUUGUUAAGUCAGGGGGUGAAGUCCUGGAGCUCAACUCCAGAACUGCCUUUUGAUACUGGCAACCUAGAGACUGGAAGAGGUUAGUGGAAUUCCCAGUGUAGAGGUGAAAUUCGUAGAUAUUGGGAAGAACACCAGUGGCGAAGGCGGCUAACUGGUCCAGCACUGACGCUGAGGUGCGAAAAGCGUGGGGAGCAAACAGG
rnacentral:rRNA from 1 species